rnacentral:rRNA from 1 species
AUUGAACGCUGGCGGCAUGCCUUACACAUGCAAGUCGAACGGCAGCGGACCUUCGGGUGCCGGCGAGUGGCGAACGGGUGAGUAAUAUAUCGGAACGUACCUUUCAGUGGGGGAUAACGUAGCGAAAGUUACGCUAAUACCGCAUUAUUCUGUGAGCAGGAAAGCAGGGGACCGCAAGACCUUGCGCUGAUUGAGCGGCCGAUAUCAGAUUAGCUAGUUGGUGAGGUAAAGGCUCACCAAGGCGACGAUCUGUAGCGGGUCUGAGAGGAUGAUCCGCCACACUGGAACUGAGACACGGUCCAGACUCCUACGGGAGGCGGCAGUGGGGGAAUUUUGGACAAUGGGCGCAAGCCUGAUCCGAGCCAUGCCGCGUGAGUGAAGAAGG